CGUAUCACCCAAGACAACUUUACGGAGUUGACGAUUGACGGAGCGAAGCGACGUCAAAGCGUUCAUUAAAGUCGAGUUGGCUUAGGGAUACGUUCGUUGGGUAGGGGAGCGUUCUGUAAGCCUGCGAAGGUGGCCUGUGAGGGUUGCUGGAGGUAUCAGAAGUGCGAAUGCUGACAUAAGUAACGAUAAAGCGGGUGAAAAGCCCGCUCGCCGGAAGACCAAGGGUUCCUGUCCAACGUUAAUCGGGGCAGGGUGAGUCGACCCCUAAGGCGAGGCCGAAAGGCGUAGUCGAUGGGAAACGGGUUAAUAUUCCCGUACUUGGUGUUACUGCGAAGGGGGGACGGAGAAGGCUAUGUUGGCCGGGCGACGGUUGUCCCGGUUUAAGCGUGUAGGUGUGUGUUCCAGGUAAAUCCGGUUCACUUUAACACUGAGGCGUGAU
rnacentral:rRNA from 1 species